UACGGAGGGAGCUAGCGUUGUUCGGAAUUACUGGGCGUAAAGCGCACGUAGGCGGCGAUUCAAGUCAGAGGUGAAAGCCCGGGGCUCAACCCCGGAACUGCCUUUGAAAUUAGAUUGCUAGAAUCCUGGAGAGGUGAGUGGAAUUCCGAGUGUAGAGGUGAAAUUCGUAGAUAUUCGGAAGAACACCAGUGGCGAAGGGCGACUCACUGGACAGGUAUUGACGCUGAGGUGCGAAAGCGUGGGAGCAACAGG
rnacentral:rRNA from 1 species